AAGGAAGGAUCAAUGAUGAUGUCCCUCAUGAAGCGCAUCACAUAAUACCCGCAUUCGACACUGCUGGGUUGCUUUGGUGUGCCUGACAGAGUUUUCCAAAUUACUGCUUUACGGCCUGAUCUGGCUAUGUGAGAAUUAUAUAUUUUUAUAGCACUGUUCACGAUGUUUUUGCCCUCUUCAUCGACCACACGAUUUCCGGGCAGAGGAUCCAAAAAAUAGACGGUUUCCCUCUUU
rnacentral:lncRNA from 1 species